GGGCCAGAGUAGAGAGCGUCAAGGAGCGUCCAAAAUAGAAAGCCGGGCCCCUUCGGGGUCCCGCGAUGUAAAUUGCAGAGAGAUGCUUCGGGGUGCAAGCCCCCCGUCUAAAGUGACCCUGGAACGGGGCGUCAUAGAGGGGUGAGAAUCCCGUCUGGGGACGGGGUGUCUGCGUCCCGUGUGAAGCUCCUUCGACGAGUCGAGUUGUUUUGGGAAUGCAGCUCUAAAUGGGUGGUAAAUUUCAUCUAAAGGCUAAAUACUGGCCGGAGACCCGAUAGCGGCACAAGUAGAGUGAUCGAAAGAUGAAAAGCACUUUGAAAAGAGAGUUAAACAGCACGUGAAAUUGUUGAAAGGGAAGCGUUUGCGACCAGAGGCGGCCGCGGGGUUCAGCCAACAUUCGUGCCGGUGUACUUCCCCGUGGGCGGGCCAGAGUCGGUUUGGGCGGCCGGUCAAAGGCCCUCGGAAUGUAUCACCUCUCGGGGUGUCUUAUAGCCGAGGGUGCAAUGCGGCCUGCCUGGACCGAGGAACGCGCUUCGGCUCGGACGCUGGCGUAAUGGUCGUAAAUGACCCGUCUUGAAACACGGACCAAGGAGUCUAACAUCUACGCGAGUGUUCGGGUGUCAAACCCGUACGCGCAGUGAAAGCGAACGGAGGUGGGAGCCCCCUCGCGGGCCGCACCAUCGACCGAUCCUGAUGUCUUCGGAUGGAUUUGAGUACGAGCGUAGCUGUGGGGACCCGAAAGAUGGUGAAAGAUGCCUGAAUAGGGCGAAGCCAGAGGAAACUCUGGUGGAGGCUCGCAGCGGUUCUGACGUGCAAAUCGAUCGUCAAAAUUUGGGUAUAGGGGCGAAAGACUAAUCGAAACCCAAAUGGCUCCAAUC
rnacentral:rRNA from 1 species